rnacentral:lncRNA from 1 species
UGGAAAGAGAUCAUCAGGUUGUAUCGUGGUUGUAAGGGUCUCUGCCCCCAAAACUAUGAGUGCUGGAGGGCAGGACUGUGUUUUGCUCACUAUUUUAUUUCCAAGGUGCAGCAUGAUCCCUGUCACACAUUAGGCUGUUGGUAUAUAUCUGUUGAAUAAGUGAAUGGAUGGAGUCAAAGUGCAGUUCUUACACAUGAAGACUUUUAUGUGUGACUCCUAAAAUUCCAUUAACUCCUACCAGAUUCGCCCCUCAAGGUGCACUCCUUAGUUCUCCAGUAGGAAACAAGAUGAUGUUGGGAAUGUCAGAAGUGUAAAGGCUAUUAAAUACUCGGUCAGGUUAGGUCACAUCUGCAAUUGCUUUAAGUCGGGCCAGCUGUGGAGUGGGUGGGAGCAGACUUUAUGGCAACAACAAAAAGAGAAACAUGUGCUCUGCUAGAGAAAAAUACACCACAGCUUCUGAAGUCACCCUCCACAUGCAGCUCCAGUGCUUUCCAACUCAUUCUGUUCGCUCCCACACUGAAAAGAGGCCUUUCUGGGUGCAACAUGAGGCCAGCCCCCUCUGCACGUGUGGACCCAGGGCUCCACGGCUGAGCUCAGGAGGGGAUUCUCUCACCAGCACUUAUUACAGAGCAAAGCACCACAUUGCCAAACUCCCUUGGGAAGACUUGGUGAUUUCUCACAGUGAAGAAUUUGGCACAGCAAGAAAAAAUGUAUAAAUCCAACUUGAUUUCACACUCGGAGAGAUGUGUACACCAGACUUGAUUCUACAAGACAUGAAAUUAAACAUACCCUUUCCAUUUUGCUCCCUCCUCAGCCUGGCCAAAUACCACAGCCAUUGCAUCUGUUACAUAUGUUCCAACCCAAAUCUGCUCAGAAUGUCCCCACAGAUGGUCUGCCAGCACUCUAGGGGAGGUAAAAGCCAACACCCACACUUAGUCAUGUGUUGCAUGACUCAUGAAAUCCAACACAAACCACUCGGACGGUGAGGUGACAAAAACACAAGCGGUCUGGAGAGAGCUGUGACUGGACUCUGGCCGGAUGCGGAGCAGGUGAAAGGAGAGCAGAGCUGACGAAAACCUCUCCUGCUGCCCCGGCACACCCCACAUGGACCAGGGGCCCGUGCUGGGGCUCAAAGUUGGGAAAAGUCCAAGUGCAAGGAGCUUGAAGCCCAGCCCAGCCUUUCCCGUUGGCCAGGACAGGAGCAAUUUUAACAGGAAGAUGCACUCUGAAUGCCAAUUUAGAAAUUACCUGGCGCCUUGAGCAGGUGGGUAGGCAAUGGAUGCCAUAACCAUCUUGGGACCCACAAGAGAAGGGAUAGCAGAAGGUCCACACUUCCCAACACAAGAGCUCUGCCUGCCGUUUGCCUGACAGAAGAUUCCAUUAUUCUUAAACAAGAUGGAAGGCUUGGGCACUGACCACCUCUUGAAACUGGAGAAAAUGGGCUUCUCUAAGGAAGAAAAUUGGGAAGAAUUCCUCUUUGGCCACCAGAAUGGAUUUGAGAAAGAAAAGGAUGCAGAUUUUGGCAGGAAAAUUGCACAGCCUCUGAGCCCAAGCUAAGCCAUCGUAUCCCCUGUGACCU